AGAGUUUGAUCCUGGCUCAGGAUGAACGCUAGCGGCAGGCUUAACACAUGCAAGUCGAGGGGUAUAGGUUUUCGGACCUAGAGACCGGCGCACGGGUGCGUAACGCGUAUGCAAUCUACCUUUUACAGAGGGAUAGCCCAGAGAAAUUUGGAUUAAUACCUCAUAGUAUUAUGAAAUGGCAUCAUUUUAUAAUUAAAGUCACAACGGUAAAAGAUGAGCAUGCGUCCCAUUAGCUUGUUGGUAAGGUAACGGCUUACCAAGGCAACGAUGGGUAGGGGUCCUGAGAGGGAGAUCCCCCACACUGGUACUGAGACACGGACCAGACUCCUACGGGAGGCAGCAGUGAGGAAUAUUGGUCAAUGGGCGCAAGCCUGAACCAGCCAUGCCGCGUGCAGGAUGACGGUCCUAUGGAUUGUAAACUGCUUUUGCACAGGAAGAAACACUCGGACGUGUCCGAGCUUGACGGUACUGUGAGAAUAAGGAUCGGCUAACUCCGUGCCAGCAGCCGCGGUAAUACGGAGGAUCCAAGCGUUAUCCGGAAUCAUUGGGUUUAAAGGGUCCGUAGGCGGUUUAGUAAGUCAGUGGUGAAAGCCCAUCGCUCAACGGUGGAACGGCCAUUGAUACUGCUAAACUUGAAUUAUUAGGAAGUAACUAGAAUAUGUAGUGUAGCGGUGAAAUGCUUAGAGAUUACAUGGAAUACCAAUUGCGAAGGCAGGUUACUACUAAUAUAUUGACGCUGAUGGACGAAAGCGUGGGUAGCGAACAGGAUUAGAUACCCUGGUAGUCCACGCCGUAAACGAUGGAUACUAGCUGUUCGGAGCAAUCUGAGUGGCUAAGCGAAAGUGAUAAGUAUCCCACCUGGGGAGUACGUUCGCAAGAAUGAAACUCAAAGGAAUUGACGGGGGCCCGCACAAGCGGUGGAGCAUGUGGUUUAAUUCGAUGAUACGCGAGGAACCUUACCAAGGCUUAAAUGUAGAUUGACCGGUUUGGAAACAGACUUUUCGCAAGACAAUUUACAAGGUGCUGCACGGUUGUCGUCAGCUCGUGCCGUGAGGUGUCAGGUUAAGUCCUAUAACGAGCGCAACCCCUGUUGUUAGUUGCCAGCGAGUCAUGUCGGGAACUCUAACAAGACUGCCAGUGUAAACUGUGAGGAAGGUGGGGAUGACGUCAAAUCAUCACGGCCCUUACGCCUUGGGCUACACACGUGCUACAAUGGCCGGUACAGAGAGCAGCCACUGGGCGACCAGGAGCGAAUCUAUAAAACCGGUCACAGUUCGGAUCGGAGUCUGCAACUCGACUCCGUGAAGCUGGUAUCGCUAGUAAUCGGAUAUCAGCCAUGAUCCGGUGAAUACGUUCCCGGGCCUUGUACACACCGCCCGUCGAGCCAUGGAAGCUGGGGGUGCCUGAAGUCGGUGACCGCAAGGAGCUGCCUAGGGUAAAACUGGUAACUAGGGCUAAGUCGUAACAAGGUA
rnacentral:rRNA from 1 species